UACGUAGGGUGCAAGCGUUAAUCGGAAUUACUGGGCGUAAAGCGUGCGCAGGCGGUUUUGUAAGUCUGUCGUGAAAUCCCCGGGCUCAACCUGGGAAUUGCGAUGGAGACUGCAAGGCUAGAAUCUGGCAGAGGGGGGGUAGAAUUCCACGUGUAGCAGUGAAAUGCGUAGAGAUGUGGAGGAACACCGAUGGCGAAGGCAGCCCCCUGGGGUCAAGA
rnacentral:rRNA from 1 species